rnacentral:rRNA from 1 species
UUAAUUGCUAUAACGAACGAGACCUUAACCUGCUAAAUAGCCAGGCUAGCUUUGGCUGGUCGCCGGCUUCUUAGAGGGACUAUCGGCUCAAGCCGAUGGAAGUUUGAGGCAAUAACAGGUCUGUGAUGCCCUUAGAUGUUCUGGGCCGCACGCGCGCUACACUGACAGAGCCAACGAGUACUUCCUUGACCGAAAGGUCUGGGUAAUCUUGUUAAACUCUGUCGUGCUGGGGAUAGGGCAUUGCAAUC